rnacentral:lncRNA from 1 species
AGUCAGCCCCUGGGGCCGCCCGGGGAGCUGGGAUGCAGCGCGGGCCACGUGCGCCCGGCAGUACUUAGGUGGUGGCGGCCGGCAGGCGGUGGGGGAGACCUUCCGUGAACUGGCCUUUGCUCCGCCGAGACGACCACCCCUUAGCCGCAGGGGCGCCCGGUGUUUUUCUGCUUUGAUUUCUGAGGCUACUGACGCCCCGAGCGGAGCCGGCAUCUCCAGACCAGGCCGUGGAGCUGCAGCGAGAAGAAUGUGCCUGCUUUGGCUGUGGAUCGCGAGCGCCCGGGCCGCAAAGAUUCAGGGAGAGGUGGGGACGACACGUCAAAGACAUUAUGAGGAAGAAGAUGAAACUCAAAGGUAAGAUUUAUAAACAUAUGCUCCCUGCUCUUAGAUUAAGUGUCCCUGAAGACUUCAACCUAAAGUGGAUCCCUGUAAGUCAAAAUCCUGAUCUUGCACAUGCUGAUGUCUUCUAUUUGGAUACCAGUGGGAAUUGUUAAGUGACUAUGUAAAUCUGACGACAGUGAAGCACAAGCAUUUAUUUGAGAGUGCUGACUAGGGGGAGGUGCAAAAUGUGAAGUAGUAACAAAUGAAAACUGCCUGUAGACAGAGAGGAAUGACAAGGAUACAUUCAGGCAUGUACUGAAGUCAUAAAAUGUAAGUACACUGUACAAAUAAUACACAUUCUGAGGCCUGGAUUCAAAUCCUAUCAGUGACAAUUAUAAUUGUGUAAUCUAGGUGAAGUCACUUACCCUUCCUGUCUUGUCCCCACAGUGCUACCUUACGGGGUUGUUGCAAGAAUUAAAUGAAAUGAUAUGUGCAAAUAGUGCCUGGACACAAUGAGCUCAGUAUAAAUGUUAGUCAUUGGUACCACCCCAUCAUUAUUAUUGUUGUUUUGGAGAAUUACAUGAGCAAGGGCAAGAGGGCAUGUAGAAUGUGUAAAGCACCAACAGGGAAGGUCUCCUUGAGACCCGGUGGAAUCUGAGUUGGGCUUUUAAGUAUAGAACUUAUAAUGAUGGAACUAGGCAGUGAUUCUGGGUGUAGGAAAUAGAAUGAAGCAAAGUUCACAGAAAAAAAAAAAGUUGGAGAUGUGAGGAAGUCAAGUGGCAGGUAUGAUGUUUUGGGAUGGUAGUGAUAAGGCUAGAAGGGAAAACAAUCUCAGGGUCUGGCAGCUAUUUAGAUGUGGCAAAUGAGGGAGAACGAGGGGACACGUAUAACCUAAAUAUAAGUUGGGCAUCCAAAUGGCUCAGUCUCAAAGCAUCAAUGAACUGAUAAACAGUCUAGCAACCAAAACUAUUUUAAAACCAAUUCAAAAUUUUGCUUGCCAUUCUUCAAGAACAUUAAAAAGCAAAAGUUUUAGGAACAAUUCUUAAAUUUCCCUUUCCUCUCCUAAUUCUUACAUUUCAUCAGCUCUGGUACUUGUCACUCUCUUAACCCUUCACUUUCCAUUUCUUCUGUUCUAAAAUGGACAUGAAGCCCUUGUCUCUUUUCGUUUCCUUUCCUCUUUUCCUCCUUUCCUUCUGCCUCUUCAGUCUUCUCUCUUCUUAUCCAUACCCCUCAUUUUGAAUCAUGAAGCCUAGAGACCAUCCUGGAAAAGGCGGGAAUUUCCUUAGAGGUCAGGCUUAGCAAAGCCAUCAAAGAUAAUAUUCUCUUCAUGGUGGGUGGUAGAGGGGUUUAUGUUGUGGCAGAGAGGUUCUAUGUGAACACUCUCAUGUUAAUACAUUUUUAAAUCAUCAAAGAUAAGAGUAAUAUUUUGAGCCUUGGUGAUGGGAUAAUGGGGGAUAUGUCAUUACAGAAAUAGGGAAACCAAGGAAUGGAAGACCUUUGGGGGCAAGAUGUGGAGAUUGGAACUGAGCAUGGAUUGGAGCUACAGUAUCAUUCAAGGAAUAAGUAGACAGAAACCUGGACAAAUUGAUUGGGAAUUCAGAUAGAUUUGGGCAUUAUCCCUACAGGAGUGAUAGUUGAAGGUAUAGGAACGAGUGAGAAGAGAAAUAUAGAGGACAUAAAGAGAAAGAUGAGAGUUAAGGAUGGGAGUGUGGAAAAUACCUACAUUUCAGGAUAGAAGUUAAUAAGUGAAUUCAGGGAAGAAUAGUCCUGGUGUCUAGGACUCACACAGAUGAAUUCCACCAGAAUCUCUGGAAGUGGGCUUUAUGAAUUAACAUUGUUGACACCUUCCUCAGCAAUUCCAUGUGCAGCCAGGUUGAGAGCCACUGCUCUGGUGGUUAUGUGAUGCUUAAUGGUUUUCAGGGUUGUGGGGGAAAGCAGUUGGUAAGGAAUGAAGUCCUAGUUUUUUGGAUUUAGAAGCCAGAAACUCUACCAUUCUCAUUUUGCUGAGGAACCCAGGGCACCAAGAGACUAACUGUGUGACCUUGAACAAGAAACUGAAUGGCUUCCCACCUCAUGCUUACCUCUCAGUGCCACAGACACACUCCUCUCCCUCAUCCUCACCUGCUCCUCCCCACCACAGCCCAAGUCCUGCCCUGAGACUCCCAAGGCUGGGCAAUCUGCCAAAGGCUCUCCAUUCAGAAAUUUUUUUUUUUUUUUAUUAAAGUGUGGUGGAUUUACAAUGUUGUGCCACUUUCUGCUGCACGGCAAGGCAGAUUUUUUUUUUUAACUUUUUAGGAAAAAAGGGUCUUUUUGGCUGUGCCCAUGGCAUGUGGAAGUUCCCGGGCUAGGAAUCGAACCCGCCUGAGCCAUAGCAAUGACAAUGCCAGAUCCUUGACCCUCUGAGCCACCAGGGAAUUCCAAGAUUUUAGAACACCUUUCUGACAGAUUAAAGGCUCACCUGAGGUCUCUUCAGCAGCAGCAGACAAGACCACGCUAUCGGAGGAAACCCAUUAAGAGGGUUUCUCAUAGCUUUGUGAGCCUGGAGAGAAGGUUAACCACUAGAGAAAAUGGCAGGGGGGAUCCUUUAUUUUGGGGUACUGGAGAAGCCCUGGCUUCUAGCACCCUCCCCUCCUCUCAGGCUCUGGCAGCCCCCUCUGUGCUGUUUAUGAAUUGGCGUCGAAGUCUGGGGCUGCCGUGGUAAGGCUGCCAGCGCUGACGAGGACGCAGCAUUUGUGGGAAUUCUGUGACUCCAGAAGGCGAAAGGUCAGUUUCUUUUCAUUGACAGUAUUCUUGCUGCCCAAGGGUUUAUCUCUGGGAAUCUUGACUGGUUUCCAGGGUUAGGCUUCACCUCUAUUGUUACAUGGAAACACAGGAACAGCCCUGUUGUCGUGCCAGACUGGGUUCGACAUUGGACUCCAUUCCCCACGGCACUGUAGUCCCGCCCCCCCCCCCCCUCCCCGCCCCAAGUAAAGUCCUGCCGUCUUCCAAAAUAGCUGAAGAGGCUUUUUAAAGAUACACAAACCUGUUCAUGUGCCUCUCAUACACAUACAUUUGGGCUUGAUUUCUACUCCCCCCGUCUUUCUUUUCUUUUCUUUCUUUCUUUCUUUCUUUCUUUCUUUCUUUCUUUCUUUCUUUCUUUCUUUCUUUCUUUCUUUCUUCCUGGGCUCUACAAAGUCACCCAUGAAUAUGAUCCAACAUUGGAAUGUACCCUGGAGCUUGAGGACACGCCUGACAUCCCCUGAAAACUCUUGUCUUUCACUCAUCCUCAUACACUGAAAAGAUGCGCACAUGUAACCCCUGAACUCACACACGACUCCUCCAGUUCGUGGUCACACUAAAAAUCCGUUUGAGUUACACAUGUGCUUGCUUACCCCUGGCUCCCACACGCCCACCUGGAGGUGUGUAUACACAGCGCUGAUGUCUGUGAUCACCGCUGCGCUGAAAACACACCUUUAGGUGCCUAAGAAACAAAUGGCAAGAGCGAAGGGAAACAGGGCAGCGGAAAGAAUGGCCCUGCUCCAUCCACUUCUGUCCUGAAGCAAAGCAACCUGGAUCUUUUGGGCUAACUUGUGUGCUGGGAACCCAGUGCAGACUUUUACAACAGGCCCUGAUCUGAGUGCAAGCCUCAGAGGAGCAGUCUCCUCCCCAGCCACGUCUGUCUGCUGGGUUCCUCCAGCUGUCUCCAGGGCAGUUCUCCCUAAAUGCAAACUAUUAGCAUUUCCUGUUAAAACAUUUCUAAUAAAUAAAUGAAUACAUCAUCUUCUCAACCCAAAGCAGGUCUGAAAGCAGCCUAGGAGCUCCUCUGAGCUAAGGACGGACAUGGACCACCCAGCACCAGCCCACUGGCCCGGGGCCAGUGCUGCUUUUGUUUGAAUUCCUGUAUGAGUAACUGCUCAAGUUGACGCCAGCCAAACUCAGUGAAAUAUUAUUUUUAAUAUUAAAUAAAUAGAUGGUGGGGUGUGUUGAUCUUUUUUUUCCCCCAGUAAACUGCAGCAUCACAACAUAGAAACUGGCUCUUGUAUCCAGAUUUCCUCAGAUAGCAGAAGGAAGGUUGACAUUCUCUUUGACCUUCCUCAUGGAACUCUUACCCCCCAGGAGACAGAAAAGUCCCAGUUGGUGUUGACAGGACCCUAUUUGGAGUAAGCUGGGAGUUCAAAUGCUAACAAAACUUGUAUGGGUUCACCAGCCAUUUUUGUUAAUUUUUUCUAACUUAUUGUUUUCUUUCAAUAACAGAAGGCACAUGAACUUUAUAUAAAAAGUAGAAAGCACAGAUAAACAAGAAGCUGCUGAGAUCUUAUGACCCAGUAAGAGACAAUUACUCCUAAAUUUUGGUCCCCUUCUUGAAGGUCUGCCAUGCUUUGUGUUAUUCUUCAAAAUCAGUCUUUGACAAUUUGCUGGAUAAAUAAAAGAAAGGAAGAAAAAAAAGAAAGAAAGAAAGAAAAAAAGAACCACCAGCCUUAAACAUUUAACACUAGAGGUGAGCAGUAUAGGAUAGGACUUUUGCACGUCUGCGUCUUUUUCACAACACGUCUUUUGCCAUGUUGGGCACUGAAGGGGACAGACUGAAGAGGAGACCAGUGAUGGCUUCGGAAAGGCUCAGAUGAGUGAGAAGAUGCCUUGACAUCAGAGCAUCUCUUGGGCCUGGUGCAUGGUGGAACACACCUUAGGAAAUGCAGUCUGAUGUCAUAGCGGAAAAUGAUCUUCACGCUGUUCAUGGAGACCAAUGCUGGGCUGUCAGGUUGACCAGUAACAUCCCCAAAUUUUCUGCGAUUUUAGCAAGUGGGUCCAGAAUUUGAUAACACAUCAACAAAAGAAGAAAUCUAUGUCAUCCAGCCCAAUCUUCAACAUUCUCUAUGAGUCCCAGAAAGGGUGUGUGCCUUACCUUAGGUCACACAGCUACUAAUGGUCAAGUGAAUCUCAAGCACUUAACAAUAUCAAGCUCGCUGUUCAUAGCCAGCAUCAAGAACGAAAUUUUAGGAACCUGAGAUUCUUUUUCAUAAAAACCUGCCUUGAUUUGCUCUACAUGGGGCUACUACUCUUUCACAAGGUGCCCAAAUCACCUUUCCUGCCUUGUUAUCUUUUAAAGUCAGUGAGAUUUCUGAAUCAGGAACAGAAUCCUUUCGAUCUCUGCCAUUGACUCUCUUAUCAGAACAACUGACAGACACAGUUCAAUUGACCUAUUCAAGAUCUGCUGGAUCUUUCUCCUCUGUGGCUUGCAGGGAAGGAUGUAAGAAGCAGUGGGAGAGCAGGUAUCAGGAGAGGAGGACCCUGAUAGAACAAGGAGACAGAUGGAGGCUUAGCUGGCUGCAUGCUGAACUGAGCACCUCUCUGGCAGGAGAGAAGGGAGCUGGGUCCCUGACUGUUUACUUCCAUGGAAGUUCACCUGAAUUUUGCUCCUGGGACAGAAUGGGAUAUUCCCGCCCAAUUCUGGCUGUGCACAUUUCUUCCCAAGAACCUCCGUCUCUGCCCUAUCUAUAUAUGGAAACACAUCUGACAACAGCAGCAGACAAGAAAGAUUUUUGUUCUCUCAGAACGCAGAAAAAUUCUCCGUCAGCAGCCGUUUUUUUCAGUGUUUGGUGCAUUGAUGUGUGGGCUACAUAGACUAUUUUAAAGUCAUAUUUGCCUUCAAGCAAUGGCAGCUUUGUAAACAGUAUGGACAUGGACAUAUGAGUCAGAUUCAGUUUAUAACCAAUGCUAAGGCAAUUCCAAAACUACUUUAUUGUAUAAAUAUUGUUCAGAAUU